ensembl:lncRNA
AAGAACAUUGGAGUGGGUCACAGUCCAUGGAGUCACAAAAGAGUCAGACACGACUUAGCAACUAAACAACAAGAACAAUGAAGGGGAGGAGAAUAGGGCCCCUGCUCCCUGAAAAGAAGUGGGAUGGAAAAUGCCUACUCAGUGCUGGGCACUGUGCUUGACAUGCUCCAUCCUUGUAACACUCGAUGCUUGGACAACCCCAUCAGGCAGGGAUGGUUCAUUUCCUUUUAGUUGGAAAACAAACAAAAAACUGGAGCCCAGAAAAGAUUGCCCAGAGAAUGAGAGCCAAAGCUCAAACCCAAGUCCCUCUGGCUCCAUGUUGUCCUUAAACAAACAAAAUAUGAUUACUAAGCAAAUUUGUUUUCAAUGAGAAGGACACAUUAUUUUUUUUUCCUUUCUGGAGCCCAGGGAAUGAAAGGAUCAUUUUUUUCAAACCUGUGACUGGGGCCAAAGAAUAGAGCAAAAACUGCUUAGGUUAGUCCUGGGGGGAUAUUAAGAUGGAAUUCAGUAAUCCACGGACAGAAGCGUUUGUGUCUUACCAGGUGGAACUCCAUGAGCUACCGUGAGCCGCUCAGCACCUCAGAGGAACCUAGGAUCAAUCGGGUUCUGGCCCAGCUUGCGGAGAGCCACGGCUUGCCCGCCAUCUAGUGGUGGGUCCAGAGCGCAUCCCAGCGCCCCCAGAGAAAUUCAUCUGCUGUUCAUUUGCCAUCAGAAGCGUGUUCCAGAACUCAGUGGCCUCUCUCAACUCACACCUUCACUUUCAGGCUUUCUGGAAAGUACUUUGAAUUUGCUUCCCUCCCUUGUAUUUCCAUUCAUGUUAGUCACACAGAGAGGGGGGAAAAAAACAACACACCUCAGUUAAUCUAGUUCUUCAGCUACACACAUACCACCACCACCACCACUUAUUGGCAGGGCCACUAAUCAGAGAGCCUCUCCAUGGGAAGUCUUCCUAAACACAAGAUCCAGGUGGGGAGAAUGCAGCAGCUUGGGGAGGCAAAAGAAUGAGGAUCACCAAGGAAGAAAAAGUUGGCUUAAAACUCAACAUUCAGAAAACUAAGAUCAUGGCAUCUGGUCCCAUCACCUCAUGGCAAAUAGAUGGGGAAACAAUGGAUAUGGUGACAGACUUUAUUUUUGAGGGGCUCCAAAAUCACUGAAGAUGGUGAAUGCAGCCAUGAAAUUAAAAGACACUUGCUCCUUGGAAGAAAAGCUAUGACCAAACUAGGCAGCAUAUUAAAAAGCAGAGACAUUACUUUGCCAACAAAGGUCUGUCUAGUCAAUGCUGUGGUUAUUCCAGUAGUCAUAUAUGGAUGUGAGAGUUGGACUAUAAAGAAAGGUGAGUGCCGAACAAUUGAUGCUUUUGAACUCUAGCGUUGGAGAAGACUCUUGAGAGUCCUGUGGACUGCAAGGAGAUCCAACCAGUCAAUCCUAAAGGAAAUCAGUCCUGAAUAUUCAUUGGAAGGACUGAUGCUGAAGCUGAAACUCCAAUAUUUGGCCACCUGAUGUGAAGAACUGACUCCUUGAAAAAGACCCUGAUGCUGGGAAAGAUUGAAGUCAGGAGGAGAAGGGGAUGACAGAGGAUGAGAUGGUUGGAUGGCAUCACUGACUUGAUGGACCUGAGUUUGAGCAAGCUCCGGGAGCUGGUGAUGGACAGGGAAGCUUGUGUGCUGCAGUCCAUGGGGUCAAAAAGAGUGGACAUGACUGAGAAACUGAACUGAACUGAGGAAGAAAAUGCCGUUCUUGAAAAGGAACCCCCAUUAACAGAGCCCUGGGAACAGGGGCAUCCUCAGCACGACUGAGUGACUUCCCUUUCACUUUUCACUUUCAUGCAUCGGAGAAGGAAAUGGCAACCCACUCCAGUGUUCUUGCCUGGAGAAUCCCAGGGACGGGGGAGCCUGGUGGGCUUCCGUCUAUGGGGUCGCACAGAGUCGGACACGACUGAAGCGACUUAGCAGCAGCAGCAGACACUCAGGUCACCAGGCUCCCUUCAGAGCCUCCCUCUGCCCCUCUGCCCCUUCUCCUUGCCUGGUACCCAGUCCCCCUUCCAACAGUGUAGGCUGUUGUGCAGAGCCUGGAUGUGGACAACUCCAGACUGGCAGUUUCAAUGGUCCAGAGAUGCAGGCUUAACCUUGGUGUCAGAGGUGAUGGAGAGGCAUCCCAGAAUAUUUUCUCUGAGUAUCACUGGCUGAUGAAGAGUUCUCCAAGCUCAUGCUGACUUUUGUACUUGAUUCACCCUGUUUAGUCAUUCCUUAUAUACGUGAAUGAAUAAUGUUACAUGUUCUGUCAAUGCACAUUGUUCUUUUAAGAUUGUUUUUUGAUGUGGACUGUUUUAACGUAUUUAUUGAAUUUGUUACAAUAUUGUUUCUGUUGUUUAUGUUCUGGUUUUUUGGCCCAGGAGCAUGUGGGAUCUUAGCUCCUUGAUCAGGGAUCAAACUCACAUCCCCUGCAUUGUAAGGUGAAGUCUUUAACCACUGAACCACCGGGAAAGUCCUGUAUAUAGUUUUAAUUUUAAAAUAUAUGUCCAGGUUAGAUCUUGUGGUUGGCACAAUAAUCCCUCCCUCCAAAAAUACCCACAUCUUUUAUCCCCAAAACCUGUGAAUAUAUUACCUUUCCGAACCAAAGAGACUUUACAGAGGUGAUUAAGGUUAAGGACAUUGAGAUGGUGAGAGUGUCUUGGAUUAUCCAGGUGGGCCCUAUCUAAACACAUUACUUCUUUAAAAACAGAGAACCUUUCCAGGCUAUGAUCAGAGAGAGAGAGAGAGAGAUGACAACAGGACAAGGGUCUGGGAGAAAUGUGACAUUACUGGCUUUGAACAUGGAGAAAGGGGUCCAUACCCAAACCAAG